UGUGAAUGGCAACUGGUUUCUCUUGAGAUAGCUUUGCUUGAUGUGAAUGGCAACUGGUUUCUCUUGAGAUAGCUUUGCUUGAUGUGAAUGGAAACUGGUUUCUCUUAAUGUGACAAGUGCUAUAUAAUGCCAGCUCUCUUUCAACUUUUUUUUUUUUAAAUACUGCAUUAGGGUCAUUUAUGGAAUUAUGAUUGAUUCUAUAUAUUUAAAAUAUUCUACUUUUUUCAAGUGACAAUUAGUUUUCUCUUAAUGUUAUUUCAAACUUUGUCUUAUUAUCAUUCCCCUCUCUUGUCUCCUAAUCAAGAAGUGUUUUCUACUUAUGUAAAAAGCUAUCAGAAUAUCAUUACUUUCCUACCCUACCAAAGCAAUGCAUCAACAUAUAUGACAUACUGUUGUGUGGUUAUCUGUAUAAAAUUACUGUUUGCUUUUAUUCUUGCUUUGUAUCCUGAGUAUCUCCAGAUGUAAACUCCGUAAUUUUUUUUUUUAAAUUAAUUCUGCCACCUACAACUGCAUCCUUCUAUCAUUAUGUUAUUAUCACUUUACCAAUCCCAAUUAUGUUCAUUUCAAAUGUAUGUUAAUAAGUUUCUAUCAGUAGUGGAGCUUUGGGAAUGGGUCAAUUGUUUAUGCUGACCAGGCUUUACUUUUUUGCAAUUAAUGCAUUGCAUUGGACAGAGAUACAAAGUUUAUGUUCUUAAGAACAUCCGUCUCUUACAGGGCCAUCUGUUUCCAUUUGGUUAGUAUUAAGACAGUGGACAAUGAUCUGCUUUGUUUUAUUUCCUAACAAAAUCUGGCUUUUUGUGUUUUAGAUUUUCAGUUUAUGAGUACAAAGAAUCUCUCCACCUACAUGUGAUAUAAUUUUUGCUUGUAUAUUGUUUGAACAUUCUAGUGUAUGUAAUUUAAAAUUUUGAAAUUGUUUGGAAAACUCUUGUAGUUUUUUUUUGCAUGAAAAAAAACAAUUUGUAUAAAAAAAAGUCACAUACUGCUAUGAUAGUUUAAUGAAUGAACAAGUCACAUGUAAUUUCCACCCAUAUCCUUACCUUUAUUUGAUCAUAUCUUUUAUAUUCAGAUUUUAUCCUUUUGUCAGUAACCUGGUGAAAGAGCUGUUUUGAAAAUGAAAUAAGUAUACAUAUGAUGACUAACAAACACAUAUUGAGUUAUUUCAGUUUUAACAACAAAAUUUAAUUUCUACAGUAGGUAAAGAAGUAGACCUUAUUCAUUUUGAUGGCUAUUAGCUACCAGUAAAUGAAAUAAUUGUUUGACAAAAUGUACUUUAACCAGUCUGUUGUGAAGGAAAUAUCCUAAGCUGUGUUAAUGUCCACUAGUACAUAUUAGAUAUCCCACUUCAUCCCAAGAGCCAUUUAAGCAUGGAACAUGUCAGAAUCAGCCAGGAAAAUCAAUGACUUCAUACAGUCAAAAUCUCAGUAACAGGAUUGACUCUGCUGCAACACAUUGAUGUGGUUAAAACAUUAUCCCCCUUUUUUUUGGUUUUGAAAGAAUGUAAUUGAAAAGCUAAGAAGAUCUGUAAGAAGAUUGACUGAAGAUUCCAUUAGGUUUGUAUUAAGUUUCUCUCUAUUUAUUUGGCUAGACUUGUCUCUGUAGAUAGAUUUGUAAAUAAUGGAUGUUCAUUGUCUCAUAAGCUAACACCUUCCUUGAUUCCAAUGUCAACAUGUAAUAUAGGUUCUUAUUCCAAUGUCAUGUUAUUAAAUUAGUCAAUUUAGAAUGUAAUCCACAAAAAAGUGAAUAAUGUACACAAAUUAAUUUAAGGGAAGUUGUUCUAUGAAAAUGGCAUUUUUUAAAAAAUUGGUUGUUUCAUUUGUACUUCCUGUCAUUUAGUUUUGUUGAAACUUAGUGCAAACACUGAUGAAUGUUAGUGACUACAAGUCAGAGUUAGUCUUUUUAAACAGGGCAACAACUGUUUUACUUUUACUAAAUAUAUAGGAGAUGGAAGGGUUACAGCAAAUUUUUUUCAUAUCUAUCCUCUGGGUCAGAGAAUUUUAAAAAUACCUAUUUACUAUCAACAAGUGUGUUCAAACUUCCAUGGGGGCAUCUUCAUGAAUAUAGUUCUUAUAUUGAAGUAAUAGAAAGUUUUGUGUUUAGCUGUUCUAUUUGAAUUCAUUAUUUUAACCUUUUGACUGGUUUAGGAUGUUCAUCUGAAAUGUUCCUGCAAUAAAAUAGUGUCCAAGUUUGUGUUAAAACUUUGAAAGUCUUCCUGUUAUAUUUAUUCCAACAAAUUAGCAAUAAUAAUGACUACAUUUGUUUACAUUCAUUAUCGAAUUAUAAAACAGAAAAAAUAGUUUUUAAUAUAAAAAAUAGUAAAGGCAGACGAGAACAACUGAAGAGCCUAAGAAGUGUUUGUAAAUACUCUAUAUUUGGGGCUUGCUGGCGUUUGAUUUCAGGAUGAAAGAGACAAGUGAUCUUAUAGAAUUUGGGGGGGCCAGAAAAAAAAAU